CAUCCAGGAAACCUUCAGGUAGGGAGCAGCUCAGUGAGUUUUCAAGGGGAAUUGAACUCAACAGGCAUUCCAAGGCCCUGAUCUGUGUGAAUCAUUACUGAAGGGUCAAGAUUUUACCUGAAGGAACCUUCAUCCAGGAAGGACUUGAAACAGGGCGCUAACUGCAAAUGUGACCUGCAGAAUAGAGUCUGUGUCCACCAUGAACAGACCGUUAGAGGUUCUGUUGGUCAUGUUCUGUGACAAAGCUCCUUUCACCAUAUGUGCACCGUAUGUCAUCUAGACUUGUUAUGGGACAGUAGCAGGGAAUCCAGGACAAGCAGGAAUGGGAUCUUCCUAAGAGACCACACCGAAUUCUACCUCAGAACAUCACAUGGGAUAGAAACGGAGAUUUACUGGUCCUCAUCAGGGUCAGGGAUUGAUCUGAAGAACAUUAAUCCAGGAUGGACUUGUAUCAGGAAAUAAUCUAAAUUGGGCCUUCAGAAUAGAGACUGUGUCCACUUUGAACAGAUGUCUGGAGGUGACACAGGCUGGAGAUUUCACGCUGUGGACUGAAAGAGAAGUAGGAAAUAUGCAGAAAUUACAAAUUACAGUGUGCCCAGAAUCCAGCAUGAAGUCUGUGUCCAGCACAGGAGGAGGUCAUGGAAUCCCACAAGAGACACCACAAGCAGACCCAAGGAUCCAAACCCAUGUGCUUGUCUCUAAGCUUGUGAAUCUCAGAAUGAAGAUAUGAUGCCCAAGAGAGCAGGUGCCUGGUUAAAUCGUGGACCCCCAACUCCUGACCUAGAGUUGUGCAUACUGAGCAUUUCUGACUGUGAAGAAGGAGUAGGCUUCUUAGCUCUCUUCUCGUGGAAGAUUACCAUGUCUAUGCUGAGGGCCAGAGGAGCUCAGACAUGGCUCAGGACACUAUGAGGAAAAGAUGUGGAGUAUGAUUCAGUGGUCAUACUUCCACCUUCCAAGUGCAGACAACGACCCAAAUCACCAACAACAUCUGUGGAAUAUACAGGAGGGUCCACUAGUGAAAGCCUCACAGUGGGAUAACCCAGAAAACAUGCCUGUGGGGAUAGAAAGUAUCUCAGAAGACCUUGAAAAAUGAAUGUACUCCUCUUUCUGUACUCCAGACUUGGUCUUGAGAAGGGUAGAGUCCAUGGAGCCCUGUCCCAGACAAUCACUAACUUGAAGAAUGAGACCUUGACAACAUACAGUUGGACUAUCCUUACUGGUAUUAGAAAAAUGUACAAACUCCCAUUGAAAAACUCAAUCAAAUUUCUAUAUAAUCUCUAUAAAUUGGCUUUAGGACACUUUGCAUGUGCCUGAGAGAUCUUCAAAUUAAUAGCUAUUCAUUCCACCAGUUGCUAUUCUAGAGGUGUUAAAUCUAUGCAUUUCUUCUAUAGACUCAGUACAAUCCUGUCUGAUGGUUCAGCACCUAAUAAAACAACCAAUAGGACCUAACCUAUAAAAGAUGCCAAUGGCAGAAGAUAUACCUGCAGGCCCAGUGUCUAGUUCCACUACUUCACAUAAAUCCUCAGAGAUCCAGAAAGUUUACAGGGACAUAAAGGAGACUUGACAUUGGGAACAGAACAGAAAGCUCAGCAACAGACACCACUAAAUCCUGUCACUGAUUUUGUCAUAGUCUCCCAUGUAAUUCAAGGCAGAGAUAAUGGUGUGUACACAAAGGGCUGCAGAAAAACAUUGAAAAACAAAGAAUAGGGAACACAUUGAAAAAUUGAACGCAGUCACCAUGUCAACUGACCCUAAUCAAAACCAUAUAAUUUAACAUAAAAUCAUGAGAGACAUCCAUGUAUGUUCCUGCCGUAUAUGGAGAAAGGUCAUAAAUAUCACAGAGAACCUGUAGAAACGGGAGCCCUGAAGUCAUGGGCCAAGAUAAUUCAGGAAAUGUAGCAGGGCUUGAGCAGUCACUUCGCUAGGACUUCUAUAGAAGCCUGACUCCUGACCGCUGACACAUCUCAGGAGACAACAAAUCCUCUCAGUGUCCAUUGAGUGGUUAUGUCAAGGUAGAAGUGUGGUUGAUGCUGUGUGCAGUGAUGAGGGCUAAUACCUCACAUCGUGUGGGAUGGAAAUUGCUGUCCAGGUGGAUCUCAUAAUAGCACUCUAUCGGAUGGUAGAUUUAGGUGGGGAAGCAUCAGUCCUUGAUACCCAGAUACUCAUGUGUGCUCUGCGUGCUCCUCCCCUGGUUAUACCUUACAUCAUUGUCAGUUUAAGGAUAUGAACGACAUCUUUUCACACACUAACUACAUAGUUCUAGGAAUCAGAUCUAGAUAUCUCCAGUCAUGACAUGCUUGCCUCUUUCCUGAAUAGGUAUAAUACAUUGCUAGACACCACACUUGCCACACCCCUCUUGCACUGCAAAUUGUCAUAUCUUGCAGAACAACCCCCUCAAAUAUCAUACAGCCUCAGGACAUCCCUAAAUAUUGGCUAUGUAGUAAUUCCCAUACAGCCAUAUGCUCUCAGAUAGGUGACAGUUCUGGAUGAGCAAACUAGCCCCCAUAGCUCCUAUAGAUUUCUAGACAUUGAACUGUUAAUGAAACUCACUUAAUCUCGCUUUCAGUGCUAGUCAUAGGGUUGUGCUGGAUAAUCUUCCACUCUGCCCAAAAUACAGUGCUAUUACUGGGUUCCCAAGGACACCAUCACACCAUGGAAUGCCCACAUGCACUGAAAGUUAUCAGCACCUCUUCUUCAUCCCACCACAGUAGUGACAUUCUCCAAUGUUAAUAUCAAUUCUUCUUAGUACACCUAAUGAAAUGAACCCAUAUAAACUUUUAGGACUUUCCACCUGCUAGGUACUGAAACAACACACUGACCAUGACAGCUCCUAUAUUGAUAGCUGAAGGCCCUUUAAAUAAACAUCCCCCUGCAGUGGUCUCUAGUUCAUUGUUAGGUAUCAUGCCGGUGACUCCCUAAUGCCUCACACAGUUACAUUCAGGUAUCCCUGGAUAAUAGAGCAGCCUCUGCCAACCUACUCUAAUAUUAACAGGCCUGGAUUGACACCUAUUAAUACCGUUACCUAAAUAUAUUAAAUACAUAUGGUGCCGUGCUGGAUGCACCCUCCUAUUGAUAUCCACUGAUAUGCAUAGUUAUUCUUCAGGCCCUUUAGACACCCCACCUCUCCUGUGACCACACAUUUGAUUCUGAGUAUCAGGUCAUGUUUGAUCUCCUACCCUACAAACCACUUGCUUUUACAGCUAAUGAUAAAACUCAGGUCUAUAUGUCAUGUCCUCCUUGGUGUUUCUUCAAUCAUAACCUGUAAUUAGGACUGUGGUGUUGUUGUUGGAAGUAUUUUACAGGAGCCAUUUCUUAUUAAUACCUAAUGUGGUUGACACAGGCCCACUGUGGGAGUCUCCACCGGUGUAUAUUGUUCCUGAAUUGUGUUUGAAAGCAAACUUAAACAGCCAUGAAGAGCAUGCUAGUAAACAUCUGUAUUCUGACACACGAGAGUUCCAAAAAUGACUUUCAUAAUGACAAAUGUAGAGCAGGAUGUGGGAGCCAAAUAAAUUCUUUCCACUUGUUUGGGUUUUGCUAUGAUGUGUCUGUCAUUGAUAGAAUACUGGGACAGCAUUCUAGGAAUGUCCUCAAUUAAGAAUCCUCCAGCCUCCAUUUACUGACUCCUGGCUAUAAGUAUGCAAUAUAUACCUAUAUGAGCAAAUAUGUCAAGCAUUAGGGGAAGCUAUGGGAUCCCUACCCCUUUGUGAACAGAAACAGAGGAGGAGUGUAUUUAUGGGUGUGUGGACAGAGGAGAGUAGUGAGGAACAUUAGGAGAGGAAGCAGGGAGAACUGAUAUGUGGAGGUAAAAUAAAUUAUUAAAAUAAAAAGAACAGUUUUGUAUGUAAUUAUAAAACUUCAAAAUGAGUUUAUUGUGGAACAACACCUUCAGGGGUACAAAUAAUUUCUGCAAUAUAUUCAGAAGACAAAUGCAAAAUGAAAUGAUAGCUGAAAAUAGAAGCUAAAUGACUGCCAUAUGUACUAGAGAAUAAAACCACAGUAGAAAUGAAAAAAAACAUAAGUCUAACAAAAAGUAAAGAGGAAAUCCUCAAAACAGAGAAUGCAUUGAAAACAUGGCUGGAAAGCAAGUUAAGUUUUGUCAUUUAAGUAAAGUUCAAUGAUAAUUUAUUUCAGUAUGAGGGAACAUGUUAAAUAUUAGAAAUCACCCCCGUUGAUAUAGGUAAAACUGUGAAUUGCCUGCCAAAAUAUGGAUAUGUCCAAUAAAAACAGUGAAGAAAAUUUC